ensembl:miRNA mdo-mir-1548 mdo-mir-1548
GAGGAGGGCUCCAGCGGGCACGCACGCGGGCUGGUGUGCAUCCUGCAGCGGGCUCCCCUU